rnacentral:snRNA from 1 species
GUGCUCAUUUCAACAGUACAUACACUAAAAUUGGAACGAUACAGAGAUUAGCAUGGUCCCUGCACAAGGAUGACACGCAAAUUUGUGAAGCGUUCCAUAUUUUU